AUGGUGAAGGCAGUCAGGAAAAUGAUGAUCUGUUUGCAUCGUCACCACAUUCAAUUCGCAAGUUCUCUUAAUAUGACUCCGGAUCACAUAGAGGCAGCUAGAGUUUUUGUUGAGACUCUAGCAUCGACAAAGAAGCAUGCACACCGAACCGUGGUCGAUAUGCCGCCACCAGAUGGGGACAUAUGCACGCCAGCUAUGCUUCACGAUGUCCUGACGUUUAAAUGGUUGCAUGGCGCUAUCAUCAAUGCAUAUUGUAAACACCUACAACACCGUGAUUUUUCUGAUCGUUACAUAUCAACAACGUGGUUCCCCAAAUUUAUGUUGAGUAGGGCAAGGGGAAAGACCAAGUCAGUAAAUGAUUUAGACUCAGAACAUGUUACAAAGAAAACAAAAGUCAUCGCAAGAGUAAUGGAUGAGUAUUUCAGACGGGACAAGGCGUAUUUUCCUAUGCACGUUAAUGAUAAUCAUUGGAUAACUAUAAUGAUGCACACCGUCAAGGAGGAGUUUCAAGUUCUUGACUCAAAUUCUAAAGGCGCAAUUAGCCAAAGAAUUCGCAAUAUGGUUGCCACCCUGAGAGUUAAAAUUUCUAAGGAUAUUAUGGAGGCCAACUCAACUCUUGAAUCAAAAAAAUUCCCAGAUGUCUCAUCGUGGCCAAUUAAUGAGUAUAAAAAGCCGAGACAAAACGAUGGAGUGUCUUGUGGACUUUUUGUGAUGUGGUGCAUAAAAUACUGGGACGGAGAUCGCUGGACACAUGAAUUUGACCAUGAAGAGAUUAAUGAGUCAAGGCCACGUAUUGUCGCGGAAAUUAUUUUUUUAGAGGUGAACGAAUUA
rnacentral:rRNA from 1 species